rnacentral:lncRNA from 1 species
UUCUAGAACAGAUGCGUGUCGCGGGCGCCGUCCACCAGCUGUCGCGAACAUAAGUUACAAAUCUCCACAAGGGACAAAAACAUCUGCUCUGAGGGGCUGGGACUCCAGCGCCACACCUUGGGCGCCAGGGUCGCAGUUGCCAGCAGCAAGCCCCGCAGUACCGACCUUCGGUCCUCAGCCUCACCCUUUCUUCUGGAUUCAGGAGGAGGACUUGGCUCUCCAGUCUCGUUUUCCGCAAGCGAGGUAGCGAGAAUAGGAUGCACACACCAAGCAGGCAGGGGCUCUACCUAGAGUCUCACCUUCGGGGCUGGGUAUACACAGCGGAUGGAGCCCAAAGUCAUCGCAUUCAGCGACAAAGUCUAAAUUGGUGGCUUCUCACCAUCAUCGCUCAGCAGUUUGGCACGCGGUUCCUCUGGGGAGAGGUGGCCUUGUCCACUUCAAGGCGCCUGUAGCCAGCUCAGGGGUUUGUGAGUUCCAAGGAGAGGAUGCCGGAUGUCAAAUUUAAUGAGGGUGAGGGAUAGAGUCCGGGCUCAUUUUUCUUUCUCAAUUCUCCAUUCCACUUACAGUUAACGUUGCUAAUGGUUAAUAAAACGUGGUUUGCGAUCGUAA